GAUGAACGCUGGCGGCGUGCCUAAUACAUGCAAGUCGAGCGAAUGGAUUAAGAGCUUGCUCUUAUGAAGUUAGCGGCGGACGGGUGAGUAACACGUGGGUAACCUGCCCAUAAGACUGGGAUAACUCCGGGAAACCGGGGCUAAUACCGGAUAACAUUUUGAACCGCAUGGUUCGAAAUUGAAAGGCGGCUUCGGCUGUCACUUAUGGAUGGACCCGCGUCGCAUUAGCUAGUUGGUGAGGUAACGGCUCACCAAGGCAACGAUGCGUAGCCGACCUGAGAGGGUGAUCGGCCACACUGGGACUGAGACACGGCCCAGACUCCUACGGGAGGCAGCAGUAGGGAAUCUUCCGCAAUGGACGAAAGUCUGACGGAGCAACGCCGCGUGAGUGGUGAAGGCUUUCGGGUCGUAAAACUCAGUUGUUAGGGAAGAACAAGUGCUAGUUGAAUAAGCUGGCACCUUGACGGUACCUAACCAGAAAGCCACGGCUAACUACGUGCCAGCAGCCGCAGUAA
rnacentral:rRNA from 1 species